rnacentral:sRNA from 1 species
ACAUUUAUCAUCCUGUUCCUGUAUAACAGGAGUUUGUUUUUCUAAAGGCAUCUUAUCUUUAGUGUCAGCUAGAGGAGCAUCUGUUUCCUCACUUGUGGGCUUGUCCUCAGCAGUUAGGUCCUUGCAGAGGACCUCGAGCCUGUGUGCAGGGCUGCAGCCAGAACCUAAGACCCAGGACAGAGUCAGAUCACAGGCACUAGGGGUGGAGGUCACGUCGGGCAGAGUCAGAUCGCAGGCACUAGGGGUGGAGGUCACGUCGGGCCGAGUGCGCUGCAGUCAGAAGAGGAGCUAUGUGUCCCGCAUACGGUGAUUGUAAGCCAGGUCCAUGCCACCAAGAGCUGGAGCUGUGGAGUAGUACUUGGUUCCCAGAAAAGCCCUCAGUCCGAGGUCCACAUUUCUUCUUAAUGCGGGCGGAAAUAAUUGCUGAUGCUUGUGGUUGUUGAGAAUCCUCAGCUGCAGUUCCUUUAACAGUUGCUGUGGGAAG